CACCGCGGUUAAACGAGAGGCCCGAGUUGAUAGCACCACGGCGUAAAGGGUGGUUAAGGAAAGCAGCAUAAUAAAGCCAAAUGGCCCUUUGGCCGUCAUACGCUUCUAGGUGUCCGAAGCCCAGUCCCACGAAAGUAGCUUUAAUAAAACCCACCUGACCCCACGAAAGCUGAGAAA
rnacentral:rRNA from 1 species